UCGCCAGACUCCUACGGGAGGCAGCAGUGGGGGAUAUUGCACAAUGGGGGAAACCCUGAUGCAGCGACGCCGCGUGUGGGAAGACGGUCCUCUGGAUUGUAAACCACUGUCCCCAGGGACGAAGAUGACGGUACCUGACCAAGAAGCUCCGGCUAAAUACGUGCCAGCAGCCGCGGUAAUACGUAUGGAGCAAGCGUUAUCCGGAUUUACUGGGUGUAAAGGGAGCGCAGGCGGCCUUGCAAGUCUGAUGUGAAAGGCCGGGGCCCAACCCCGGGACUGCAUUGGAAACUGCGAGGCUGGAGUGUCGGAGAGGCAGGCGGAAUUCCUAGUGUAGCGGUGAAAUGCGUAGAUAUUAGGAGG
rnacentral:rRNA from 1 species